GACCCUUCUUAAGCCGAGGGUCACCUAGCCAACUGACGUUGUUAGUGAACCUAAUAUUGUUCACAAAAAUAUAUAGCCAAUCACUGAUUUGUGGUUGGUUUUUUUUU
rnacentral:sRNA from 1 species